UUGUUCAGUGUAUAUUAAUUAUUUAUUUUCAUUUUACUUAAAAUAUAUGUUUUUGUUAAGUUAACAUAUGUUUUUCUAAUCAAGUCUACGUAAUUGUGUCUAUUAUUCAACGUACAUAAUACUAAUGUGUUACUUGAUCGCAUAACAUUUAAGUUAAGUCAAUUAGGAUCGAUAUACCUUGUAUAUCCACAAGGUGGCAGUAAUGCAAAAACAGUUGUAAUGAAACCGCGCAGAACAAGAAGGUUUCACGGCUUGUGCCUGCUCAUGCGCAAGACUUCAAAUUUAACUGAAAAAGGCUGUUUUGGCGCCAAGCUGCUGUUUCUUUGAGAGGUAAGACCACUUUUUUCUUUGACUAUGUUGUGUAGUAUCUAUAUGUCCAGCAUGGUUAUAUUUUGCGUUUGUCUUACAAGACAUGUUAUAUCGUUUGCGUGCGCUUGUUUUACAUUAGUUUUACUGGGUCCUGGACAUGCUUAUUUUGUGGACUGUGUAAGAAACAUUUUUAUUGUUUUUUGUUUUAUUAAGGGAUUAGCUACAGGGGUUCAUGGGGUUAUUCUUUCAAGGGGUUAUUUUUCCAUUUGCUUUCUUGGGAUUCCUUUUCUGUAAGCCGAGAGUCGGAAAUAUCGAAUAGGAUAGCAAGGAUAGCAUAAAGUGACAUUUAAAAUCCAAAAAGUCAAGGGCGAAAGCCACUGUGACACCAUUGUUCUGCUCUAUCAGUAAUCUGUAUUAUGUAAAAAUGGUCUGUAAAUACAGCAUGUUUCCUAGCGGAGUUAUACAUAUCAAUGUAGUUAUAAAUUACAGUUUGUGAAAGUACACACUUAAUUUUUUUAAUAAAAUUAUUCAAGACAUAUCACUCAUAUGUCUUGAAUAAUUUUAUUUUACAGACAAUGGAGGUCGACAGACCUGGUGAUAAUUGCUUCUAUAGAAAGUUAGCACAUGGCAGUGUCAAUCUCUUGCUUUUCUUCUGAGUAGUAUUUUAUUUAGUUGUAAUUCAAACAAUAAUUUGCUUCUUGAAAUUAAGUAAUGAAUUUCUUGUUUUACUUUAUAAAUCUCAGAUCCUGCCUUUACCUGCUCCCUCCUAUACUGAUGUGGUGUAUGUGGUACUGCUGAGCUUGUAUGUGGUGGAAGCAGAAUAUGUGAGGAUUACUACUGCUGCACAUGUUCCAAGGCUUUUUACACAACUUGACCAAUACACUGACCAGCUCAUAAAAGUCUUCAAGAAAAAAGGAGGCGUUGCAGGGAAGAAAAUUAGACAAACUUUGGCCCCAGCCACACAGAAGGAAACUAUUGAAAAGGGGAGGGAGUGUGUCCUCAGGGCACUACCUUUUUACCUGAAUGAAGACCCAAGCAUCCUCUUCAAAGAAUAAUUGCUACAGCUGUUCAGAGGGAGCUGGAACAAAUUACCCUUGCUAUCUUUACCAUCGAAAGAGCUGAUGCCAGCACUCCUCCAGCCGAUGUGGGUAUAACCAUCUAGUGUGUCCUGCAUGACCUGGAAGACCUGGCCUCUGCAUGUGCACUCUUAAUGGGUGGGAUAUAUGCACUGAAUCUCAGUUAACCUCAAGACUGAAAGCUUUCUUUGAAGUACUUCAGAAGCUCUUCCUUCAUCUGUAUGUCAGCAGACUCUUGACCAAGGUACAGUUGCUCAAGAAUACACUGAAUGAAUAAGCCAACCUUUAAUUUGGAUGAUGAAUGUUCUGUCAGAUGGACAGAAGUUUUUCGGAGGCUGAAUGGGAAUAAAAUGGUAAUUUGUAAAUGACAGAUAACGGGAAAAUUACAUUUAAGAGAAAUUUAGAACAUUUUGAAAAGUUUGUAAACUACUACAAUUUGAGAGAUUUUACUGUUGUGGGGGGGCUAGUAAGAGACAAUCAAAAGUAUUGAGAUUUAAAGGAUUUAAUUGAGAGAUGAUACUGCACCAGAAAUGUUGAAGGGUGGUGUGUAUAUUAGCGUUCAAGGCAUAUUGUUAUGAGGUGGAAAUAUGUUCAUAUUCAGUUUGUGUUACAUUGUGUGCAUUGUAAAGGUAAUUGCAAUACAUACUAAAAAUAAGGGUAAGUUAGGAGGUUGAUCUGAUAUCCUCGUGUUGGUGUUGUUCCCAGAUCAUCAUACUAAAUGUUGUUCCAGGAUCAACAUUGCAAGUGACCAAUCAGAAUGUUGUGACGUCAUACUUUUGCGACUUCGGGAAAAACCGGCGUAAAACAAAAAACUGUACUUAAGCUGCGUGAAACCGCCUCUGUCCGCCGAUCAACUGACCCUAACCCUAACCGUAACCCUUUAAUAAACAGUAAGCAGAAUUGAUAUUGUCCUUGCAACAUUGGAAUUUCAUAAAUGCACGAAUGGCUUGGCGCGCAAAAGAAUAACGUCACAACAAUGUGAUUGGUCACUUGCAAUGUUGAACCUGGAACAACAUUUUCAUGAUGGUCUGGGAACAACACCAACACGAGGAUAUCAGAUCAUCCAAGUUGGGAAUGCAGGAUGAAUGUAUAUUUUGUGGACUUUUAAAGACGAACAAUUGUUUCCAUGUUAAAAUGUUUACAUCUGAAGUUUUUUGCCCAAACACUGGUAAAAUAAAUGUUGACAGUGGCAAGUGUUAAAUGGUUACUGCUGUGCUGUUGCAAAAAAACUGAACGCUGACAAGCUGUUUUAUUGUUAGACCAUAAUGUUGGCAUGUUUUGUUAAAGUUUUAUUUGGGAUGGUGAUGUAAUUUUCUUUGAUUGCUAAUAUCAGUGGACUAUUUAUUAUUAUUAUUAUUGUUGUUGUUGUUACAUAAAUUUUUUUAAUUGUGGCUGUUGAGGUGGACACUUCACUUUGCAUUGUUAAAGGAAAGCACUUCAUUGGCAUUGUGUUACUGGACUGACCCUAAGCAAUCAUUGCAAAUAGCAACUUUGCUAUCCAUUUUAGACACUAAAAGAAAAAAACACUCACAGACCUUACUAGCAUCACAUGUGCAUAACUCAAGUGUCAUCUUAUCAAUGUGUUAUGUGAUCUUCAAUGCGUUUUUUUUUCUUCUAUUUCUGGUAGAUACAGACAUUUAAUUUAAAGUCUUGAUGUUGCAUCUGUCUACAUACUGUUAAUUACUAACCCUAAUGAGCUGUUGUGUUUUAUUUUGGACUGGGUUUACACAAAUGCUCACUGAAUGUGUUGGCAAUAAAAGAAAUUUUAAAAAAUAA